UACUUUUUUUUAAAAAAGUUUGAGGACUUUUUACACAAUUCUUCUAUUCUUUCCCUUUCACAAACCCUAACCGCUGCUCAAAGACCCCAUUGCUUGUCGCCUCUUCCGGCCAAAGCUGCUACCGUCUUUUCUCUCCCUACUUUCCCAGUUAGCUUUGUUUGUACACAAACCAAAACGAUAGAAAACCCAAAAACUAGGAACUUCCAAUCCACCAUCGGAUCAAUGUCUCCAACUGCAGAAAACUCAAGUUUUUGGAUGUUUCUUGGAACAAUUUCUCAAUGGGGAAGCCUUCGUUUGGUGACUGUUUAAGUUUAGGACACCUCAAUGCCUCCGCCAACAAGUUUUCUGAUGACAUUGGUCGUGAAAUCUCAUCUUGUCUGAACUUAAACUUCUUGAAUCUAUUGGACAACCAGUUUUUCUGUCGCAUUCCAGGAAAGGAAAAGUCGUCAAGUAAUCAUCAUUGAAGUGUUCGUAGCCAUUGUGUUUAGAUCAUUGGAAGUUUAUGAUGGUUGGAAGUUCAAGUCAGAGCUCACACUAUCUAUUCAACAACUCGGUAUAAAUUGUGAUUAUUUUGAUUUAGGUUAUAAAUGACAUGUACUAGGAAUUUAAGUUCAAUUACUAUUAGACGUGUUGUUUCAUACUUUGUUAUGCGAUGCUGUGGUUGUGUUUAUUUGGCUCUUCUGGUAUGUUUUAACCAUAUGUAUAUAACUAGUAUGAUUCAUGACUUUGCAAGUUUGGUUCUGAUUGUGGUUUAAGGUUAUGAAAUGCUAGAUAUGUAACAACCCGAUUUUAGCAAAAUCGAAAUAGUGGUUUCAGAACCACAUAUCUGAAGUUGUAAAAUUAUUUUUAAUAUUAUUUUAUGUGUUUACAACAUGAUAGCAUGUACGUGUGAAAAUCGUUUGGAUGUUUAAUUUGAUAAAAGGACUUAAUCGCGUAAAAUACAAAAGUUGCAUACUAUUUGUUUAAAGUGCUUAAUUGCUAUGAUUAAUUAAAUUAAAAGUCCUUAUGAC